UGCAGAAAGGGUCAGCCUGCCAUUGUCCAU
rnacentral:piRNA from 1 species